GGUCCCAUAGUCUAGUGGUUAUGACAUUGGACUUUGAAUCCAGGAACCUAAGCUCAAAUCUCGGUGGGACCU
rfam:Picea glauca, whole genome shotgun sequence.